rnacentral:SRP_RNA from 1 species
GGGUAAGUCUUUUACGACCAGCUCCCCGAGAACCCCCCAGGGUGGGAACACAGCAAGGGUAUUGGGUUGAGCGGUGCGAUAAAAGGAGCUUGCCCAUU